rnacentral:SRP_RNA from 1 species
GCCGGGGGUGGUGGCGCGCGCCUGUAAUCCAAGUUUCCUGGAGGCUGAGGCUGGAGGAUGGUUGGAGCUCAGGAGCUCUGAGCUUCAGUGGACUAUGCUGAUCAGGUGUCUGCACUCAGUUUGGUAUCGAUAUGGUCUUCCUGGGAGAGCCCGGGACAACCAGGUCGUCUAAGGAUGGGUGAAUCGGCCCAGGUCAGAAACGGAGCAGGUCAAAGCCCGCAUGUCGCUCAAUAGUGGGAUCGCACCUGAGAGUAAACGCUGAAGCACAACCUGAGUUUCUCAUCCAGACCCAGUCUUU